CACCGGGCAAACCCCGUACCUUCCCAGCAUCGGCUCAGCAACCCACGUGCAUCCAGGCCGGUCAAUGUCAUUGAGUCACCUCCGCGCCUUGGCCACCCUGGAGUCCCGAGAAUCCGAAGUUCCAGACAAAUGCCCAAACUACAUUCCUGCAUGUUCGAAAGCGUAAAUUGCAAAGCACAAAUCCAGGAAUAUUUUAAAGCAAAU
rnacentral:lncRNA from 1 species